rnacentral:rRNA from 1 species
GACGAACGCUGGCGGCGUGCUUAACACAUGCAAGUCGAACGGAAAGGCCCUGCUUUUGUGGGGUGCUCGAGUGGCGAACGGGUGAGUAACACGUGAGUAACCUGCCCUUGACUUUGGGAUAACUUCAGGAAACUGGGGCUAAUACCGGAUAGGAGCUCCUGCUGCAUGGCGGGGGUUGGAAAGUUUCGGUGGUUGGGGAUGGACUCGCGGCUUAUCAGCUUGUUGGUGGGGUAGUGGCUUACCAAGGCUUUGACGGGUAGCCGGCCUGAGAGGGUGACCGGCCACAUUGGGACUGAGAUACGGCCCAGACGCGUACGGGAGGCAGCAGUGGGGAAUAUUGCACAGUGGGCGGAAGCCUGAUGCAGCAACGCCGCGUGCGGGAUGACGGCCUUCGGGUUGUAAACCGCUUUCGCCUGUGACGAAGCGUGAGUGACGGUAAUGGGUAAAGAAGCACCGGCUAACUACGUG